AAGUCGUAACAAGGUCUCCGUAGGUGAACCUGCGGAGGGAUCAUUAUUAUGCGAAGUGCAUGCUGCGGCACCACGCGGACGGUCACCUUAAUUGGGGUCGGAAGCAGUGGAAGUCCGUGGCGAGCUACUCCCUGUCGAAAAUGCCUGCCUGCGGGCGGGAGGCCGAUUCGUCGAGUCCCGGGGUUUAGCGGAUCUUCAUUCAACCCUUUGUUGUUAAUACUCUGUUGCCUCGGGGGCGACCCUGCCUUGACUGGCUUGGGGGACCCCCGGUGGACAUUUAACCAAACUCUUGCGUAUCAUUGUCGUCUGAGUGAUUAUAUCAAUCAAAUUAAA
rnacentral:misc_RNA from 1 species